UCCCCACCCCCAAAGCAUCUCACAUCUGUGACCCCACUGGCCCCAGGCCCUGGAGCAAUGGCCCCUCUACCCAGAAUACCCGGCCCCAGUUGCCAUGGUCACCAUUCUGGUCUCCUGGACAACCCUUUUACUUCCAGUGGCUUCUCUGUCCAGGCUCAGAGGCCAAGGAAAGGGCCAGAGGUCCUGCGAGGGUGGCACUGAGGACCCAUGGCCAUGAACUUCCAGGACAAUGUGACCCUGGCCAUCGCCGUCUUCACCAUCCUCACCUCCAUCUACUUCUUCAACAAGGCUCAGCAGUGACAGCCACCAGCUCACCUGUGCAGGGCCAGCUGCUGCCCACCAGCACCAUGGCAAUGUCCUCUGAGACCCAAUAAACGGCGCGCACCAGCUCAGACAGUGCCCUGUCCUCUGUAGAACAGGGUGAGCUGGGCCUGCUGCCCACGGAGCGAGGGGGCUGUUGG